GCUCAGUGAGAGAAGCAGACACAGAAGGGCACACAGGGUAUGAUUCCACUGAUGGGAAACGUCCAGAACAGGCCUAUUCACAGACACAGAAACCUGCCACAAGCUGAGCUGCAAUGACUGGCAUAGAUCAGGGAUCCAGGCAUUCAGGGACACUGGCGCUCCCUGUUGACCACCUGCAAGUGGCCUCUUCAGCCUGUCACCGCCUGCUUGUGACAUUCAGGCUGCUCUGGGGUUAUGGUGAGUGCAGACCAUCAGUGCCAAACACAUCGACAGACUGAUAGCCCCACUGGGCAUGACGAUGUGGUUGGCUCUCCCACCUGCCACCCACUCCCAUGCCCAGCCCCGCCACUGCAUCGGAGGACAACACAUGCUUCAUCAUUUCUGCCCUGUCUGUGCCCUCAGGUACGGAGCCCACAAGCAGAGCCAGGGCAGGUGCGGUAGACACAGGACUGUUUUCUUAUUAAAAAAAAAGACUCAAACAAAAGUAAGACCUGGA